CCACACUCGCUGUUCAAUAGUUCUGUGUGUGUGUGUGAGAGAGAGAGAGAGAGAGAGCAAGAGAGAAAGAGGGGAAGAUAAAAAUUGAGUGCGUAUUUGGAAAGGUUAUGGGGAACAUGCCUGUGUGUGGGUCCGUGUGUGUGUGUUAAACGGGCGAUUCGGGCCGCGCUGCACACUAAUAAUAGAAGACGCAUUACCACGCUGACUCACUGUUUCACCACACACACAUAUACGGAGCUCAAAUCAAUAUCAGGCCAUAACGUAACAAAACAGUAGCACUGCCGCCUCACUGCUCACAGCUCCAGGGUCCUGUUCUAUCCUGAGCUCAGGUGUGGAGAUUUUCAUGUUCUCCCCAUGUCCAUAUGGGUUUCCUCCACGUUCUCCGGUUUCCUCCACGUUCUCCGGUUUCCUCCACGUUCUCCGGUUUCCUCCACGUUCUCCGGUUUCCUCCCACCUCCCAGAAACAUGCGGGUAGGUGGAUUUGAAGGCUCUAAAUUGCCCCUACGUGUGAGUGAGUGUGUGCAUGGUGUCCUAUGAUGGACUGGCGUCUCAUUCAGGGUGGAUUCCCAUCUCACAACCAGUGUUUCCCAGGAUAGUCUCCGGAUCCACCGUAGCCCUAACCAGGUGCAAGUCCAUAACUACAAGUAUACAAUACGACUCUAGCAAUAAUAAAAAAGAAAAAGACAUGUUAGUACGGGCAAGGUUUCUAAUGUUUUGGUAACCCUUUAUUUUAAGAACCACACACAAGGGGUUCAUUAAGAUCCUGUUAAUUGCUUAAUAAGGCUCAGAUCCGAUUCCGUUAAAUAGGUUUUCCGUUCUUUUCUCAGUACGGGGAAAUGUUUUGAAAUGAUUGCUAAUCGCAAAUACAUUACAUACGCAGUAGAUCGAGACUAGGCAGGAGUAUUUGCUAGGCGGUAGGUGAUAUAGUAAGAUUCGUUAAGACUUGGCGAUACGACAGGAUGAGUAAGUGGUACAGGUUCCUGCGGCAGUAGAACAAUGGCACUGGUUUGAAUCGUUGAGAGUUGUGUUGCAGUAGCAGUGAGGGAGAAUAUUUCUGUACUGGUUAUGUUUAGACUCGCGACGGAUGACGUCUGAGCUGUAGGUGUCACACACCAGGUGCUUCAUUUUAAGUUUGUUUCUCACCCCCAUCUCGCACCUCCUCUCUUCUGGCACCUAACUCCCUCCUUCUCUUCAUCUCACUUUCGUGCGGUCUCACUACGCACGCACACUCCUCCCCUCCUCUGUUCACUCACUCUCUCUCUCUCUUUUUCUCUUUAUCCCUCUCCACCCUCUUCACUCUGUAAUUGGAUUCUAUUUUCAGGCAGCUAUAUGUGUCUGUCUCUUGUGUUUGUGUCUCACACCCCAUUUUUCUCUUUUCUCCCUCUUUCUCUGUCUCUCUUUCUCCCUUGACUGUCCUUGUAUUGCCCUGCAUUAUGUCACUACUUGUCACUAUUUGACAGCCCAGUAGCUUCCAGUAUAGAAUGCAUUUCAACUAACAACAAGAACAACAACACUAAAAAAAAAACCCCACCAUUCUGUGUUUAUUUUCAGCUGGAUGCAGCUGGACAGCCGAGCGACAGUUCGGUGUGUGGCAGGCUGUUUGGCCUUGAACGCUGCUGGAGGCUACGGCUUGUCAGCUUUUUCAUGGUUAGCUGAAGUUUGGAGUUGUGCUCCAGUACGUUUGACACAGUUUUCGAACAGCUGCCGAUGGAGAACAGAGAGAAAUUAAGGUUAAUAAGAGAUGAGUUAAUGACAGGGGGAGGUGAGUAAGACAGAGUGACGUUUCCACAAAGAACGAUAAGAAAGGAGAUUGGUUGGUGUAGGAUUUUUGAGGACCGUGGUAGUAUAUAAGACGUGGGCCAGAUGAAAGAGGAAGUGACUGUCGUAGAAAGACGAAAGCCGGAGAUGCGUGUGGAUUUGCUAUGUAGAGACUGAAGGAAUAAGGGAAGAGAAGAGAAGAGAAAAGAUGGGCGUUCCUCAGCAAGCCAAAAAGCAGUCACCUGGAAGAACCAGCACUGGUCGCUUGGUGCCUCAUACGCCUCGACACUCACGCUCAGGGCAGACGCGACAUACUCCACGUGCCGCUCAGCCUCGGACGCCCCGAAAACAGGUCGCACACACCUCGCAGGGACACACACACGGGCAUGCGCACUUGCACUCGCACUCGCACCGCUCGCCGUCUGCUCAAGGUGGUCCGAAUCGGCCCGGGAAUGGACACACACACAUGCACAGUUACACACACCUGUCGGCUCACGCUGACCAAGGUGGCUGUAACCUCUUCUGCUACCUGUGUUACUGUGCCUACUGCCUUGGCCUGAUGGUCCUUUCAUUCUGUCUUCUCCUCUUCCUCUCUCCUCCUUCACCUCGCUCUCACCCUCACCCUCCAUCUCCUCAACCUCCUUCCACCUCCCCUUACCCUGACGAGUUCAUUUCUAUGCCUUUGUCCUCCUUAUCAUCUCUCGCUGUUCCUUUCUGCCCCCAUCCGGCUCUCAACUUCUCCUCCAACCUCUCUACCUUCUUUCCUUUCACCCGUUUUCUCUCCUCCACUGGCUCCAACGAUUUUCUCUUCAAUCUCACCUCUCCUCUCCCUCCAUGCCCCUCCACUCAAUCCCAAACUUCACGCGGUUCCUCCACUUCAUCCCCCGACUCCCAACAUGGCUCUCCAUCCUCCUCUUCUUCAUCCCGCCCAUUUAUGCUGGUCCCUCCCUCUCUGCUGCUCCUGCCCCGCCCAUCGCUGUGUCGCUCUCGCUCGUCCUCUUCUCGCUCACUCCCCUCCCUUCUGCUUUGCCCACCCAGUUUCACAGACCCUGCCCUCUCAUCUCUGGAGCACAUCCCUGUGCCGGGCGCCACACCCCGCCCCAGGACUCUGCUGAGGCAGCAAAGCCUCCAGCAGCCACUCAUCCAAUCUCCAGCCUCAGGCCUUGGUGCCCGUUCAGCCAUCUCACAGAGCUUGGGUCAACUCCAUCCUCAACCUGGAGGAGGGGGUGGAGGGGAAGGGCCGGGUGGAGGGGGAGAAGCGAGAUCUACGGCUCAGCGUGGAGGAACAGGAACUCGAGGUACUAGAGGCAGCACAGCAGGGGGCGGAGCUUCUCGCUAUAGGUCAGGAGGCACAGGGAGCCGGGUCUCGAGGGGGAACCCGGGCAGCUGGGACUUCAUGAUGAGCCAGAUCAAGAACCGUGGCCUGGAUGUCAAGUCUUUCCUGGAAGGGAAGAUGGUGGUUCUCUCUCUGGCGAUUGGACUGGCUGAGCAGGAUGAUUUUGCCAGUCUACCUGACCUACAGGAGGUACCACCCAGUCAAGAAACCCCUGCCGACAAGAGUAGGACUAUGGGUAAUAAGCCUGCAAACAGUCCUAAGGGUCAGCCUCCGGAUGCGGAUGGACACUCGUCUGUCUCUGACCUCGCUAACUCACUCACUGGAGACAUGGUGAUGUUGUCUCCUGGCUCAGAUGAGGAUCAUGAAGGUCCGAUCAGUGAGAAGCUGGGGAGGAUUCAGUUCAGUGUUGGCUACAGCUUCCAGGACUCCACUCUCACGGUGAAGAUCCUAAAAGGUCAAGACCUCCCUGCUAAGGAUUUCUCUGGCACCUCUGACCCCUUCGUGAAACUCUACCUUCUGCCUGACAAAAAGCACAAACUGGAGACCAAAGUGAAGAGGAAGAACCUCAAUCCUCACUGGAACGAGACUUUCCUGUUCGAAGGGUUCCCGUACGAGAAGGUGCGAGAGCGCACGCUCUACAUGCAGGUGCUGGAUUAUGACCGCUUCAGCAGGAACGACCCUAUAGGAGAGGUGUCUAUACCACUAAACAAGGUGGAGCUGGGCCAACACCAGACUUUCUGGAAGGACCUAAAACCGUGCAGCGAUGGCAGUGGGAGUCGAGGAGAUCUUCUUGUGUCUCUGUGUUAUAAUCCUACCGCUAACACCAUCACUGUCAACAUUAUAAAAGCACGCAACCUUAAAGCCAUGGACAUCGGAGGCACAUCAGAUCCGUACGUGAAGGUGUGGCUCAUGCACAAAGACAAGCGUGUGGAGAAGAAAAAGACAAUUACUAUUAAGCGCUGCUUGAAUCCCGUCUUUAACGAGUCCUUCCCCUUUGACGUUCCUGCACACGUUCUCCGAGAAACCACCAUCAUCAUCACUGUCAUGGACAAGGACCGGCUGAGCCGUAACGAUGUCAUCGGCAAGAUCUAUCUGUCGUGGAAGAGUGGUCCAGCAGAGGUGAAGCACUGGAAAGACAUGCUGAGCAGGCCGCGCACCAACGUGGCACAGUGGCACGCCCUCAAAGCCUGAUCACCCGUACAUGGUCCCGCCCUGACCCCAUAACCUAUAACCUUUGACCCUUGAGCCCAUGCCCCUUCCUUAUGCACAAGACUGACUCGAUGCCUGGCUGCAAAACACGGGGGAGGUAACUCAAGAUGGGUGUAGCAAUACAUGGAGGCUGGACCAGGCAGUACUUCACUGACAAAUGAGUGAUCAUUCUCUCUGUCUCUCUCUCUCUCUCUCGCUCUUUCUCUCUCUCACUCACACACUGUGUCUCUCUAUUCUGCAGUAAGACAGUCCUGAUUUCUAUCCAUUCAGUCCAUCACUUACAUUAGGGCCUUCGACACAUGGAUGUCACCUGUAGGUGCACGUACUAAACGUGGUAAAGGCUUAAAUGUGUUCCAUCUUAUUUGGCUUGAGAGAGUGUGUUAGUCAGGUCGAAAUCACAGCCUACCAUUAAAUUAUAUUUAUUAUUGAUUUUCUUUUAUAGUUAUUAGCUUCUUUGACUGGUCACCUGAAGGCUUAAUCCAAAUCACACUCAAAAACCUGAGUUACUUCGACUUAACCCUUUACUGCGUGAUGUUGCCAUAUGGCAACAGUUAAUUUAUCUCUAAUUUUUUGAUGGGCAAUAAUACAAAACUAAUAUUUUCCUAUGUAUCUGGAAAAAGGGGGCUUUAACUUUGACAUGACAUGAAAAAAAAAGCCGUGUCAGAUGACCAGGAAGAGCUGUUUGUACUUCCUUUUCUGCAAUCACACGGCAUGGUGAACGUUAUCAUCAGAGGGCUCUCAGAAAUUUGAUUAAUAUUUCAAUAUGUAGGCUUAACCACUUGAAGGAAAAAAUCGAAACACUCUCUGAGAAGUUAACGUUUACAUUUUUUUUUUUUUUUCUCUCAUUUAAACAAGUUUAUAUAUUUUGAGUAUUCUGUUAAGUGAUGAAAUGUCAUUGUUGCCAUUUGGCAGCAACAUGCGAUAAUGGAACUGCGGUGUGUGCAUUCAUGAAGUGAAACAGGCCUACAUGGUAUAAAUAAAAAAUACACUAGGCUUCUCUAAUAGUAUAUGUACAGUUUUUCAAAUUCAGAAUAAGAAAAAACUGCUGUAAUAAACUCUAAUUGCACCUUAUUUUCCUAAAUUUAAGAGUAAGAACCAUGCAUUCUUUAAAAAGAUAUUAAAAAGAUACUGCACCCAAAUCAUGUUUGGAUCGAAUUUUUCUCUGUGUUUUGAGUGACUAAAUCCCUUCGCAUACUUUUUACAACUGUAAUUGUACUUUUACGUGCUUACUAGGUGGCGAAUCGCGGUAAUUGGAAUUGUAAUCUCACAUGUUUUGUGCUAUUUUUGACUACAUGAUACUUUCCACCGUUGCAGUGGUAAUUUACCAAUUUCAGUAAAUUCAUCGUAAUUUUAUUUAUAUAGCUUGCUUUACACCGUCACAAUAUAACGGUGUCAUUGUCACAGCGCAGCUUUCCAGAAAUCUGUAUAUAUAUGGAGAUAUAUAUAUAUAUCAUUUAUUUUGUUUUCAAAUUUCAUUGAUAUUCUGAUUGAGCAAAGCAGUGGGAUGUAGCUAAAUUUACAAACAUGCUUAUUAAACAACUAUAUCGAAAAGCUAUCAGUGAUAAAUAAGAGUAGCGGUGAACACAAUCAUAUUUGAAUUCACUUAUGAAUGAUCAGCAAUAAGAAAAAUGUAAAUGAUAUGGCAGAAAAUCAAAGUUUUAAGUAAGAUUAUGUAAAUAUACAUUUAUAACUGAUAUCAGGGCCUUGCGUAAAUGCCGGAUUCAUGUGUGUGCUCGAUCUGGAACUUUGAAGACCUGAGUAGGCUCAGUUACAGCUUGGGAAAGUGGAUCAAGAGCACUGCUACAAAACCCAGCCUAAGGAAUAACGGGAAAAAAACAACAAUGUCAGUAGAGUUAAAGCUCUCAUUCUUUCUCCUCAGUCUUUAGAGCUAUUUUGAUAUCGCAGACUAGUCGGAGGGGAAGAAUCACCUCGGUCAAUUUUAAGCGCUGGCAGGAAUAAAAAUCUAGACUUAAGAGCUCAGCAGACUGGAAUAGAUUGUUAAAUGUAAUCAACCCUGUUUCUACUCAAGGGAGGGUAAAAAGACGGCUAAAACUAGCAACUGUGCAAAAAUCAAUAGGAAUGAAGAGAUUAUUUAUUUAUUUAUUUAUUUAUUUAUUUAUUUACUUUGGAUGGGGUUGAAAAAUUUGGUAUAUAUUGUAAAUAUAGUAAUGGUGAAGUUAUAUCACACACUGGCCUGGAAAAUAUUUAACUCCUUAUUUAAUCUCCCAGGUCUCGUUGGUGGGUCCCGACUCCCACUUCCUCCACUCUCCUUCUUAAUUUCACGAAUAGUCGCCGAGUGAUUUAUUGCAGUUAUUGAAUAACGUGCCUUAAGAUCAUUUGAAGAUGACUGAACUGAAUAUUUAGUUAUUUUUGAAAGCUGCGUCUUUACGACUACAGACACCGAGAAGAACGAGAUCUAGGACCACGAGGACCACAAAUUCGUGGCGCGUGUUGGGUUAUUUUCAUAAAUAAUCAAUUCAAGGGACGUGUUCGUGUGAAGGGGGGGUAUGGAUGUGAUGUGAUGCCUUUGUGCGUGGAUGGUUUCGAUGUGUUUGUGACUCUGCGUCCAUGUAGGCUUGUUGGUAAGUCAGGACAGCGCUUGUGAGAUCAUGCUGCUUUCCGAUCAUUCAGUGUUCUCGGGGUAAGAAAGCUGAGCUCUAAUCAAUCCACCAUUACGCCCAUUCACACUUAAUGGCGAUCCAUAUCUAUGGAGCGCUUCUCGUUGAGUGCUUGCUUUUGUGGCUUAAUGUGGCCUCCAUCCUUUGCUGCUUUGGUUCAUGAACAAUUAGCGAACGAAUAAAAGCUUCACUUCUUAUAAGCAUUGUUCCUCGUUCCACAUUAGUGAUGAUAAAAAGAUUUAAAAGCAACGAUCUUUUCUUCUGUCUAGGACUUUAGAGAGAGAGAGCGAGAGAGACAGGGGGUUGUACGAGCUGUGUGUGUUCUGUAUAUUUCACAACACCUUAUAUCUUACUGUGUACUGUUUUCUCUUCUCUUUGAUUCAGUGAACGGUUUAAAUGUAUAAACACUGCCCAGGUCUGCUUGUGGGUUUCUGCGCUAGAGCUAAUUAAACACUGCCACUUACGUAGUGUGCUCAUUAAACACUGCCUGUGUACCAAUAUGCGUGACCUCAUUAUAAUGCUGCCUGUAUUGAGCUGAUGUCUACUCAAGAUGUUUCCUAAAAAUUGUUACUGCCAAACCUUCUGCAGAUGUCGGUACUUGACUGGAACAGAGACUUGUAUAGCGUUCACCGAGUUGUGUGUGUGUGUGUGAGAGAAUGGGACGGUUGUGACAGUAGGAGACUAAAAGGUGUCAAAAUGCUUUACGCUCUCUAUGUGAGGCUUGUGGAUCGACGGUGGGGUGGCAAUCCGAGCUUAAUAUAGUACACACCCUCACAAACACCAUUAUUAUAUUUCAAAAAAGGUGCAUUCUCAUUCCUGUGCCACUGACUUAUUUGAUUCUAGUGUUGUAAAUUUGGCGUGCAGGCAGAACACAAUGAGAGCCCGAGAUGAACAGAACAGACGAGACGAGACGAGAGAAGUGAGACAGACACCGUCUGAGUUGUGAGGCAGUUUCUCUACGUUUCACUCGAUUGCAUCACGCAGAGCAUUUGUGUUGCUGCUGCUUCAGUAUGGAGCAUGUUAAAACUUUAUGUCCAAAAGUCUAAAGCCUGCUAUUAUUUUAGACAACGUCUUUGUUGAUUUGUUACACCUUUAUUUAACAGAAUAACUAUUCAGAUGAACAUAAACAUUAAGAGGGAUCACACUUCUCAGCCUCGCCGGUAAAGCCUAUGUCAGAGUGUUGGAAAUGAGACUUGGUCCUGUAGUUGGACGUCGGAUUCGGGAGGAACAAUGUGGUUUCCGUCCGGGCCGUGGGACAAUGGACUUGCUCUUUGUCCUGUCAGAGAUAUUUGAGGAGUUGGACUCUGCCAAGGUUGCCUUGUCCUCACUCCUGUUUGUGAUAGAGAGAGUAUGCAGUUUGGGGGUUUGGAGGUGGCAUCACUGCUGUAUGCAGGUGAUGAUGUGCUUCUCGCCCCAUCCGACUGUGAUCUCCAACACACACUCGGGCAUUCCGCUGCGGAGUUUGAAGCGGCUGGGAUGAGAAUCAGUACCUCCGAGUCUGUGUCUAUGGUUCUCUCUUGGAAAAGAGGUUAGAGGGGGAGCAGCUGCCUUUAGUGAAGGAGUUUACGUAUCUCGGGGUGUUGUUCAUGAGUGACGGAAAAGGGGAGCGUGAGAUCGACAGGAAGAUCACUACAGUAUCGCGGACACUGUGUCGGUCCGUGGUGGUGAAGCGGGAGCUGUGCCCUCAGACAAGGCUCACGGUUUACACGUCAGUCUACCUCCCCAUCCUCACCUAUGGUCAUGAACGUUGGGUAAUGACCGAAAGGACAAGAUGGCGAGUGCAAGCGACGGAAAUGAGGCUUCUCCGCGGGGUUGACGGACUCACCCUUAGGGACAGGGUGAGGAGUUCAGUAAUCCAGGAAAACCUCGGAGUAGAGUCGCUGCUUCUCUGGAUCAACAGGAGCCAAUUGUGCUGUUUUGAGCAUUAGGUAAGGAUGCCACCCGAGAGGCUGCCUGUACAGCACAGAGGCCGAAUCAAGACACAAUGGAGGGAUCGUAUCUCCCGGCUGGAUUGGGAACGCCUGGGAAUCCCCCAGGAGGAGCUGGAAUCUGUCGCUGGGGAAAGGGAAGUCUGGUCUGCCCUGCUUAGUAUGUUGCCACCGCAACCCUCACCAGGACAAGCCGUGUAGAAAAUAGAUGGAUGGAUGGAUAAACAUUAAUAUAAUAAUAAUAAUAAAAGAAACAAUACUCUGUCUUCUAGAAAAGUUGCUAUUUUUUGUGAGAUGGACAAGGACACCGGUUUGGCUCCCAGUUAUUCCGCUUAUUCCAGUCCAGCCAGUCAGCAUACCUGAUGAUUGUGAUGAUGUGCUAUUGGUGGAAUUACAUAUUAGAUGCUCAUUACAAAUACUGAAAUAGCUCAAGGAGAUGUUUAAAUUGACACAUCGUCAUGUUUUCCCUGCUCUAACACACCGGAAUCAUCUCAUUAACAUGGACGUGUUAGAGCACUGAAAGCACUGAAAUGUGCAGGGCAGCGGCUUCUCCGGGACCAGGCUUGGGUACCGGUGAUGUCUGAGAUCUGAUGAAACUCAAUGAAUUCUGAGGUUAAAACUGCUGAACUGCUGCAAACAUGUUGUUAAAGAUAUACGGGUCUAAUCUGAUCCAACCAGUUGUAACUCAAUCUGUAUUUAAUCAUUCAUUUAGCUACAUCCGUUACAUGGAUGUACUAUUUCUGCAUAGUACAGGAGUACUGAUAUUCUGAGUCCUGAAAACUGACCGCAAAGCAGUGGGAGGUAGCUAAAAGUACAGCUAAAAGAGUUUUGGAUAUUUUAAUACACGAUUAUAUUUAAGACACGAUUGUACUAAUAUUGUGUUAUCAGCAAUAACAAAGUUGUAAAUGUAAAUUUGACAUCACAAGUAAGAGAAAAUGCGGACAAUACAUCGACAUGAAUACGAAAUCAUUCAUGUAUAAAGGCAACAUAAUGUUAGCUAAAGCUAAUUAACCUCGGCUGUUGAAGUUUGCACCAUGAUGCGUGGCGCCAGACAAAUGACAAGUCGAUGGUACUUAAUGAUAAAAUGGAUCCACAAACGAAUCUUACCUUAUUAAAACACUUCGCAUUUACUACCAAACCUUCAACGCAAACAUAACUGAGCUGUGUCUCAGAGAUGAGUUAAAGGGUCAACUGUGGAAAUGUCUACAACAACUGUACAUACAAACUGAGGUCACGCAAAUACUUGAUUUAAAAAGUAUUAUUAUUAUUUAAAACAAAUAAGCAGUUGUUUCCUAGGUAAAUAGCUUUAAGUAAAUAGCUUUUUCCCCCUCAAGUGUGAUACACUGCAAAAAAAACUAUAUCUUAGUAAGUUUCUUGAAUGACGAAACGUUAUCUGGAGAUUAUUAUAUAAUAAAUAUAACAUCAUGAAGCCUAUUCCUGAAUAUAUUUGCUAAUUUCAAGCUUCUUAUUCUAUUUGCAGACAUUGCUCAUUUUUAUUCUUUCUAGGAAUACAAUUUUUAUCUAGAAACACGUUUUUUUUUUUUUUUUUUAGAAUUAUCUGCCAAUAGAAUAAGUCCGUGACUAUGGAGUCCGUAUACAUGGACAAUAAUAAUCUAAUUAUUCUAAUUCUAAUGAAUCUAGUAAUGUAAUUAUUGACCUUAUUCUGAGUAAGAUAAUAAUGUGAUUAAGGUGUUUACAUGAGUCGCUUUUAGAAUAUUCCUUUCAUGUACCCGUUUUACAUGUUAUAGAACAUAAUUAGAUUAACAGUCCGCGUCAUUACGUCACCGCGCCACGCCAUCCGACGUCCCUCUAGAAUUUCACGUAUCGACAUAGAGUUCGUCUUCGUUAUGGGACCGUAUACAGUGUUGGGUGUUUUUAUUUAAAAUUUUUACGAACGCUUCAAGUGCGGUUAAUUAUUUGUCGUGCUGUACGUGCAACGUACGACUGCUUGAAGCCGUGGGCUGCGUCCCAAACCGCGUAUUUCUGUCUAUAUAGUAGCUAAAAUCCGUGUAUUUCUCCUACUGUAUAGUAGAUAAGUACACGGUUUGGGACGCAGCCGUGCUCUCUUGUUUGCAGUAAAACGGUCGAGCGCUGCCAUGUGCGUACGUGUCCUGUCGCAAAAUGCGGUGAAAACUCCCACACGACGUUAAUAGUGUGAUUAAGGUGUGUACGUGUCUGUAACGCACGUCGAUAAUGCGACUAAAACAGGAGUACUCCACACGUCUUAAUUCCAUUCGUGUUUACUUCGAGUAUGACUUUAGUCGGAUUAAGAUCAUCAAUAAUCGCUGUUUACAUGCUAGUUUCUUAAUCAGAGUAUCGUCUUAAUCGGGUUAAUAUCGGGUUAUUGUUGUCCGUGUAAACGUACUGAAAUGAGUAUGAAUAUAGGCUUAAUCUUAUUUUUGUUUCAAAACAAACUAAUAAAAAGAAAUAGUUGAAUUUACCCAUGAUAUUUGAAUUAGCUAAAAAUAUCUUCUCUUUUUUUCUUUUUUUCUUUGCAGUGUAAGACUUUUAUUUGGUACUGGCUCCUGCAUGCUGUCAGUGGAAAAGCUGUCAAGGCAUCAAAUCGAGUCAUGACAAGAGUGAGAGAAAAGCAGAUGCUUUUAUCGAGAAGGCGAUAAUUCUUCUCAGACUGCUCUUCUUCCUGCCCACAUGUUUAUUCACAGUCCUGUCUCCAGACGUUAUCUUUCUCUCGUUUCUGUUCUGUUCAAAUCGUUUAAGCUUUAUUAGCAGGAAAGGUCAGCACAGUUUGUGAUGGCGAUUUUCAGAUUAUUGUGAUUUUGCUUGUUUGCUGUGAUCUUGCCCCUCAGGGCCGUGUGUCCCUAAACUCUCUCUCUCCCUCUCCCACUCUCUUUCUUACACACACAAAUACAGAGUGACUAGCAUCAGUGUCGCUUGUGAGACGGACUAAUAGACUGCAAUGUAUUAGUGGGAGGGCUCAGUCAGCCAGGAAGCUUGCUCCGUCAGGUGAAGUGUGUUCAGAGGAACUUAUCAGUCUUCAUCUCUCUCUCUCUCUCUCUCUCUCUCUCUCUCUCUCUCUCUCUCCUUCACUCUGUCUGCCUCGAUGUGUGCUGUUCUGGUCCCAGCCUCCAUCUGCUCUCCUUUUCAUUGUUUAAAGCGCUGGUCCUUGCGCCGGCUUGGCCACUCCCAGUCAGGGUUCUUGUGCACAUUAUUCUAAAUGAACAUAAACGACUACAAUAAGUAAUAAUAGCUGGUCUUUUAAAAAAAAAAAAAAAAAAAAAAAAAAAAAAAAAACUCUGUUUCCGUUUGAUUGUUGGUCUGUGUAUAACCGUGUACGUGUGAUAGACUAGGUGUUCUAAUGUUGAGUUUGUUUCUUUAUAAAGUAACUGGAAAAGGGGGCGUAAUAAAAGCCCCGAUUAUAUUAUGUUUUUAAUGUUUUCUUUUUCUUCCUGUAAAUAAUCGACAAAUGAGAAACUCUGUGGUUGUAAAGAUGUUUUAAUUGCCACUUGUAAUAAUAAUGAUGAUGAAAUAUUAUUGGUGGUUUAGAAAAUGAUGAUGAUGAUGAUGAUGAUGAUGAUGAUGAUGAUUAACGCCCUUCUUGAACAAGGGCAUUUGAUGUCCGGUGUAUUUUCGUUGGAGGAACGGUUGAGGGGGAACGACUGAGUAGAGAUGCAAGAGAAGGAGAGGCACGAUCUGUGACAGAGCACAUUAAAUUUAAUCAAAUGAAAUUAAACACCAUAAAUUACCCAUAAUUCCUGUAUAUAAGCGGAACAGCGUUAAUGACAUGAUUGCGAGUAUUACAGUCACAUCUUUAUAACUGCGCCGGCAGAUGUUUGGAAAUAAUGUGUAAGGGGUUUUGCUGACACAGAUGAACAGACGUUCACACACACACACACACACACACACACACACACGUACGCAUGCACAGACAGACAAUUCGGUGUGUAAAUGACACCCAUUCUUGUUUUCCAUAUGAUGCAAGCCAGUGACACACGUCUAUACGUCUGUACUCCUCUACAUCAUUGCUCCAGAGUCACUUUCAGAGCAUACCAAUCACUAACAAUCCCAAACCCAAAUUGCAGCCUUCAGCUCCAAACAAACUCUUCUUAUUAUUGUUUCAAAGAUGUUAAUAAUGAUAAUGAGUCUUUAUUGGUCACAUAUACAUUACAGCACAUGUAAUGAGCAUGUUAAGAAGCUGGAGACAGAGCGCAGGGUCAGCUAUGAUGCAGCGCCCCCUGGAGCAGAGAGGGUUAAGGGCCUUGCUCAAGGGCCCAACAGUGGCAGCUUGGCAGUGCUGGUGCUUGAACCCCCGACCUUCCGAUCAGUAACCCAGAGCCUUAACCGCCACUGCCCCAAAUCCACGUUCUGUAAGGAAUGUCUCGACGAAAGCCGACUUUCAUGGAUCAAUUUCAAUACACAUUUAAGGAAAUGAAGUAAAGUUUCAUUUUUGAAUAAGGAGACCGGGGGCUGUUUUUCAAAUGAUUACAGUCUGGAAACGAGGAGACAGUAGUGGCGGCGAUGACAGAAUGUAGUCUGGUUGCAGUGAUUUGAUGAUAAUACGAUGAAUAUUAUUACUAUCGUUCGGGUGUUCUGGGUAAGCAAAUGGUUGAUCAUCUCUCUCCUUCUCUUGUGCGCUCUCUCAGUUUGUCCCAAACCAACGCCACUUUCAAUGAAGAUUGCUCCUCUAUGUGUCAACACUCAUAUGUGUACAAUCUUCAUGGGUUUCUUUUCUUUUUUUUUUUUUGCCAACUUUGUAUAGUGUAAAAAAGUAUAAAUAUAUGAAAAAUGAGUACUGUAUAGAUUUUAGCUGCCUGUCCAGGCCCAC